UACGUAGGGUGCAAGCGUUGUCCGGAAUUAUUGGGCGUAAAGAGCUCGUAGGCGGUCUGUCGCGUCUGCUGUGAAAACUCAGGGCUUAACCCUGAGCUUGCAGUGGGUACGGGCAGACUAGAGUGGCGGUAGGGGAGACUGGAAUUCCUGGUGUAGCGGUGAAAUGCGCAGAGUAUCAGGAGGAACACCGGUGGGCGAAGGCGGGGUCUCUGGGCCGGUAACUGACGCUGGAGGAG
rnacentral:rRNA from 1 species